UGGGGAAUAUUGCACAAUGGGCGCAAGCCUGAUGCAGCCAUGCCGCGUGUGUGAAGAAGGCCUUCGGGUUGUAAAGCACUUUCAGCGAGGAGGAAGGUGGUGAACUUAAUACGUUCAUCAAUUGACGUUACUCGCAGAAGAAGCACCGGCUAACUCCGUGCCAGCAGCCGCGGUAAUACGGAGGGUGCAAGCGUUAAUCGGAAUUACUGGGCGUAAAGCGCACGCAGGCGGUUUGUUAAGUCAGAUGUGAAAUCCCCGGGCUCAACCUGGGAACUGCAUUUGAAACUGGCAAGCUAGAGUCUCGUAGAGGGGGGUAGAAUUCCAGGUGUAGCGGUGAAAUGCGUAGAGAUCUGGAGGAAUACCGGUGGCGAAGGCGGCCCCCUGGACGAAGACUGACGCUCAGGUGCGAAAGCGUGGGGAGCAAACAGAUUAGAUACCCUGGUAGUCCACGCUGUAAACGAUGUCGAUUUUGGAGGUUGUGCCCCUUGAGGCGUGGCUUCCGGAGCUAACGCGUUAAAGUCGA
rnacentral:rRNA from 1 species